CCUACGGGAGGCAGCAGCUAAGAAUCUUCCGCAAUGGGCGAAAGCCUGACGGAGCGACGCCGCGUGAACGAAGAAGGCCGUGAGGUUGUAAAGUUCUUUUCGGGAGGGGGAACAACCGUGGCAGGGAAUGGCCGCGGGAUGACGUGAAUCCCGGAAUAAGCCCCGGCUAACUACGUGCCAGCAGCCGCGGUAACACGUAGGGGGCGAGCGUUGUUCGGAAUCAUUGGGCGUAAAGGGCGUGCAGGCGGUCGUGCAAGUCCGGCGUGAAAGACCCCGGCCCAACCGGGGGGACGCGCUGGAAACUGCAGGGCUUGAGUACAGGAGGGGAUGCCGGAAUUCCAGGUGUAGGGGUGAAAUCUGUAGAUAUCUGGAAGAACACCAAUGGCGAAGGCAGGCAUCUGGCCAUGUACUGACGCUGAGACGCGAAGGUGCGGGGAGCA
rnacentral:rRNA from 1 species